CCUACGGGAGGCAGCAGUAGGGAAUCUUCCGCAAUGGACGAAAGUCUGACGGAGCAACGCCGCGUGAGUGAAGAAGGUUUUCGGAUCGUAAAACUCUGUUGUCAGGGAAGAACAAGUACGGGAGUAACUGCCCGUACCUUGACGGUACCUGGCCAGAAAGCCACGGCUAACUACGUGCCAGCAGCCGCGGUAAUACGUAGGUGGCAAGCGUUGUCCGGAAUUAUUGGGCGUAAAGCGCGCGCAGGCGGCCUUUUAAGUCUGAUGUGAAAGCCCCCGGCUCAACCGGGGAGGGUCAUUGGAAACUGGAAGGCUUGAGUGCAGAAGAGAAGAGCGGAAUUCCACGUGUAGCGGUGAAAUGCGUAGAGAUGUGGAGGAACACCAGUGGCGAAGGCGGCUCUUUGGUCUGUAACUGACGCUGAGGCGCGAAAGCGUGGGGAGCAAACAGGAUUAGAUACCCUGGUAGUCCACGCCGUAAACGAUGAGUGCUAAGUGUUGGGGGGUUUCCGCCCGUCAGUGCUGCNGCUACGCAUAAGCACUCCGCCGUGGGGAGGUACGGCCGGCGAGGCGUGAACGUUAAAGUAGUAAGUUAGACGGCGUGAGACGUGCCGACGGACGACGACGAGGGAGGUUAGG
rnacentral:rRNA from 1 species